rnacentral:lncRNA from 1 species
GAAUGGGAAGAAAGAAACCACGACCAGACAUCUCUCGAUGAAUGGGAAGAAAGGAACCACGACCAGACAUCUCUCGAUGAAUGGGAAGAAAGAAACCACGACCAGACAUCAACGGAUGAAUGGGAAGAAAGAAACCACGACCAGACAUCUACCGAUGAAUGGGAAGAAAGAAACCACGACCAGACAUCUACCGAUGAAUGGGAAGAAAGAAACCACGACCAGACAUCUACCGAUGAAUGGGAAGAAAGAAACCACGACCAGACAUCUCUCGAUGAAUGGGAAGAAAGAAACCACGACCAGACAUCAACGGAUGAAUGGGAAUAAAGAAACCACGACCAGACAUCUACCGAUGAAUGGGAA